GGAAUACGGACGCUGGGGCAGCGUGGGCCUUCAGCACGCCACACUAAUGAGAGGCAAUCUGGCCGGCUCGGGGUCGUUUGGGAUCUGGGGGAGCAGCCGGCCCUGCCCCCAGGUGAGGAAGCAGGGAGUGGGCGAGGAGGACUCCCUGGUGGACAUCCGAGAAGGGGCUGAAAGCAGGAAUAACCCGUCCCCGCACUUCCCCAGCAAGGAAACCUUUCUACAAACAGGAGCGGCCAAGCAGGACCGAGCGCCCCCCGGCCCCCACCAAACCUCUUCCCAGAGAGGGGGCAUGUGAGGCCUGACAGCUCAGCGGCGCCUGCCAGCAGCUGCAGCCCCGCAGCGAACAUCUGAACUCCUCAGCGGGGUAAUGGACCCCCUCCUUCCCUGCCGGAGACACAGCCUGAGUGGCAGCAACACCGAUCCUUUGGAGAGUGGCUCCCUCUCAGCUCUGUCACGCAAGAACGCUCUCUGCACCACAGCCCAUUCUGCCAAGUGAC